rnacentral:rRNA from 1 species
UGUGAGGGGCAUGUGAGGGCUGUCGCUGACUCAAAGUCGUGCACGCCCGAGUGUGUCCUCUCGCAUAAUAAUCCAUCUCACCCUUUGUGCAUCGCCGCGUGGGCACCCUUUGGGAUCAUCUCGGAGGGGGCUCGCGUUUUCACACAAACCCCCCUUUUAAAAGUGUAGAAUGACCUCAUUUAUGCGCUAACACGCAAUCAAUACAACUUUCAACAACGGAUCUCUUGGCUCUCGCAUCGAUGAAGAACGCAGCGAAAUGCGAUACGUAAUGUGAAUUGCAGAAUUCAGUGAAUCAUCGAAUCUUUGAACGCACCUUGCGCCCCUUGGUAUUCCGAGGGGCACACCCGUUUGAGUGUCGUGAAAACCUCAACCUCCUUGGUUUCUUCUGGAGACCAAAGGCAGGCUUGGACUUUGGAGGCCUUUGCUGGAACCUCUCUCUUUUGAAGGCCAGCUCCUCUUAAACGAAUUAGCAGGGUCCUCUUUGCCGAUCCUCGACGUGUGAUAAGAUGUUUCCAUGUCUUGGUUUCUGGCUCUGUCACCUUUGGGACCCGCUUCUAACGGUCUUGACCUUGCGUCGAGACAAUGUUCGAGCAUGUCUCCCUUCUCGGGAAGCUCCCUCGACCCCACGAACCCUUGACCUCAAAUCGGGUGAGACUACCCGCUGAACUUAAGCAUAUCAAUA